rnacentral:rRNA from 1 species
GGCGGCAGGCCUAACACAUGCAAGUCGAGCGCCCAGCAAUGGGAGCGGCGGACGGGUGAGUAACGCGUGGGAAUUUUUCCUGGAGUACGGAACAACCGAGGGAAACUUCGGCUAAUACCGUAUGAUGCCGAGAGGCCAAAGAUUUAUCGCUCUGGGGUGAGCCCGCGUCAGAUUAGGUAGUUGGUGGGGUAAAGGCCUACCAAGCCUGCGAUCUGUAGCUGGUCUGAGAGGACGAUCAGCCACACUGGGACUGAGACACGGCCCAGACUCCUACGGGAGGCAGCAGUGGGGAAUCUUGCGCAAUGGGCGAAAGCCUGACGCAGCCAUGCCGCGUGAGUGAAGAAGGUCUUAGGAUUGUAAAGCUCUUUCGCUCGUGACGAUGAUGACGGUAACGAGAGAAGAAGCCCCGGCUAACUUCGUGCCAGCAGCCGCGGUAAUACGAAGGGGGCUAGCGUUGUUCGGAAUUACUGGGCGUAAAGCGCGCGUAGGCGGUUUUGCAAGCCAGANGUGAAAUGCCUGAGCUCAACUCAGGAAUGGCCUUUGGGACUGCGAGGCUUUGAGGACUGGAGAGGUGAGUGGAAUUCCC